AAUAACUCCCCUCUCUUGUCUCCCUCACACCAGCCAUGAAGGUUUUCAAAGGUUUCUAGAUCUACUCAACAUCUCAUUUUUCUAUGAUCCAGGAAAACUUCUAAUCAGUUAUCAGAGAAUCAUAGAGAAUGCCAGAACGUUAUGUCAAGUAACAAUUAUGUAUUUUAGAAAGAUAACCUUUUCAAUUUAAGGAGCAUGUGCAGGCUUCCAAUGUCCACCCACUCAUAGGAAAAAAGAAUGCGACCACCCUGAGGACUGGGCCAUGUCUUUUUCAUCUUUGCAUCCCUAACAAGUAACAAUAGUUGACCUUUGUUAGCAAUCAAUAAAAGUCUACCAACUGACUGAUUAACCAAGUCUUUUUUUUUUACUUGAUUAAACCAUUAAAAAAUCUAAACCAAUGCUAUUCAAAGUAGCUAGCCCUUCAACUGUUGGUUUAUAAUGGGAUACGGAGUUUGAGCAGAAUGUGUAAAAGAAUAGCUUCCUUUUUUGAGAAAGUCUUGCUAUGAAAAAACUGCUGCUUUAGUGACACAGCUGAUGUUAUAUAGUCUUGCCCCUCCCUCUUUGAUCCAAACACCUGAGAGUCAGAAAAAGACAUUUUCAUAAAGAAAAGGAAGAUGCUGAGGAAUGGAUGGUUAAAGUUAACUUUAGGGUCUUCAUCCAUCUUUAUGACCAUACAUACAUAUAUUUACAGAUCCUCAAAAUGACUUAAAAUAAAGGCACCUAUUUUAACUGGUUAAAAAAAAAAA